GGAGCAAGACCGCGUGAGGGAGGAAGGCUCUUGGGUUGUAAACCUCUUUUCUCAGGGAAGAAGCUCUGACGGUACCUGAGGAAUCAGCCUCGGCUAACUCCGUGCCAGCAGCCGCGGUAAUACGGAGGAGGCAAGCGUUAUCCGGAAUUAUUGGGCGUAAAGCGUCCGCAGGUGGCGAUUCAAGUCUGCUGUCAAAGCACGGGGCUUAACUCCGUUAAGGCAGUGGAAACUGAAUAGCUAGAGUGCCGUAGGGGUAGAGGGAAUUCCCGGUGUAGCGGUGAAAUGCGUAGAGAUCGGGAAGAACAUCGGUGGCGAAAGCGCUCUACUGGACGGCAACUGACACUCAGGGACGAAAGCUAGGGGAGCGAAUGGGAU
rnacentral:rRNA from 1 species